GGGGGUGAACCGGUUUUCGACUUGGUGUGAGAGGGGUAAUAAGCACGCGGAGGCGCGUUACCUCCUAAAAACGGCGCAAAACAAAUUAACUGAUAAAGAAGUAGACAACUAUUCCUUCGAAGGAAAUUUACAACUUCAAGCGGCAUAGCCCUUGGACGCAUUGCGGUGGCGAACUCUAAGUUACCGCAGGGCGAUACGAAAGGAGAGCAACCCUUUUCUCCGUCAAGAAGCAGAAAGGAAGCGGUGCGGAUUAGUCCGCAUAAAAAUCUUGUCUUGUAGGGAGCGGCGGGAGAUAAUCCCCGUCCCCGACGAGCGGCGCGUGAACGCCGGAAAUAACGAUUAUCUAAACGUGUAGAAAGUUACCUUGUUAGCAUUAAGGACAGGAGUUCGACUCUCCUCACCUCCACCA
rnacentral:tmRNA from 1 species